rnacentral:tRNA from 1 species
AGAGGUGUAGCUCCAGUGGUAGAGCAUUUGCCUAGUGUGCAUAAGGCUCUGAAUUCAAACUUCAGUACCACUC